CACUCCUGCGGGAGGCAGCAGUGGGGAAUAUUGCACAAUGGGCGCAAGCCUGAUGCAGCCAUGCCGCGUGUAUGAAGAAGGCCUUCGGGUUGUAAAGUACUUUCAGCGGGGAGGAAGGCGAUAAGGUUAAUAACCUUGUCGAUUGACGUUACCCGCAGAAGAAGCACCGGCUAACUCCGUGCCAGCAGCCGCGGUAAUACGGAGGGUGCAAGCGUUAAUCGGAAUUACUGGGCGUAAAGCGCACGCAGGCGGUCUGUCAAGUCGGAUGUGAAAUCCCCGGGCUCAACCUGGGAACUGCAUUCGAAACUGGCAGGCUAGAGUCUUGUAGAGGGGGGUAGAAUUCCAGGUGUAGCGGUGAAAUGCGUAGAGAUCUGGAGGAAUACCGGUGGCGAAGGCGGCCCCCUGGACAAAGACUGACGCUCAGGUGCGAAAGCGUGGGGAGCAAACAGGAUUAGAAACCCCUGUAGUCCCAUGAU
rnacentral:rRNA from 1 species